rnacentral:rRNA from 1 species
UGGUGGAGCAUGUGGUUUAAUUCGAUGCAACGCGAAGAACCUUACCUACUCUUGACAUCCACAGAACUUAGCAGAGAUGCUUCGGUGCCUUCGGGAACUGUGAGACAGGUGCUGCAUGGCUGUCGUCAGCUCGUGUUGUGAAAUGUUGGGUUAAGUCCCGCAACGAGCGCAACCCUUAUCCUUUGUUGCCAGCACGUAAUGGUGGGAACUCAAGGGAGACUGCCGGUGACAAACCGGAGGAAGGUGGGGAUGACGUCAAGUCAUCAUGGCCCUUACGAGUAGGGCUACACACGUGCUACAAUGGCAGAUACAAAGUGAAGCGAACUCGCGAGAGCAAGCGGACCACAUAAAGUCUGUCGUAGUCCGGAUUGGAGUCUGCAACUCGACUCCANGAAGUNGGAAUCGC